rnacentral:hammerhead_ribozyme from 1 species
AUCCAGCUGACGAGUCCCAAAUAGGAAAAACGCGCAUCUUGGAU